UCGAAUCCCAGGUCCACAAGCUCCGCCGCCCCUCCAGCUCGUCUACGUGACGGAACGCAAUGGGAUGCCGAAUAUUUACUACGACGCGCUUUAUUACAGUGCGCCGGGAAGUACUAGAUCGAGAUCGGCACUUGAAGUUCCCGUCCGACUUCAGGCUCCGUUGUUGGGUUUAGAAGAAAGCAAGAAUCGGGUUUCAAUGAAAGAUAGGCCGAGUUUGAGUGGAGAGAAUUUGAUUUACGUGUCAACUCAUGAGGACCCAGGUGAACCCAGGACGAGUUGGGCUGCUGUGUACUCGACUCAUUUAGGAACCGGGUUGACUCGACGACUCACUCCUUCCGGAAUCGCCGACUUUAGCCCCGCCGUGUCUCCAUCUGGGGUUUGGACAGCUGUGGCUUCGUAUGGGAAAGAAGGGUGGGGUGGGGAAGUGGAAGAACUGAGUACUGAUAUUUAUGUUUUCUUGACUCGUGAUGGGACUCACCGAGUCAAGGUUGUUGAACACGGUGGGUGGCCGUGUUGGGUUGAUGACUCAACUCUGUACUUCCAUAGGAGAAGUGAAGACCAGUGGAUAAGCGUUUACAAAGCAACUUUCCCUAAAAACAAACCCGUUUCUACCGAGUCGGUGACGAUUCAGCGAGUCACACCACCGGGUCUCCACGCUUUCACCCCAGCUACAUCCCCAGGUAACCAUAAGUUCAUAGCAGUAGCUACAAGAAGACCCAAUUCAAGUUUUCGCCACAUAGAACUGUUUGACACUGUUAAAAACGAGUUUAUU
rnacentral:lncRNA from 1 species